GUCGGUAAAACUCGUGCCAGCCACCGCGGUUAUACGAGAGACCCAAGUUGUUAGGCAUCGGCGUAAAGGGUGGUUAAGGCAAUACCCAAACUAAAGCCGAACAUCUUCCAAGCCGUCAUACGCACACGAAGACAAGAAGCCCGAUAACGAAAGUGGCUCUAACCUGCCUGAACCCACGAAAGCUAUGACACAAACUGGGAUUAGAUACCCCACUAUG
rnacentral:rRNA from 1 species